rnacentral:rRNA from 1 species
UACGAAGGGUGCAAGCGUUAAUCGGAAUUACUGGGCGUAAAGGGCGCGUAGGCGGCAGGCCAAGCGUGCGGUGAAAGUCCGGGGCUCAACCCCGGAUCUGCCGUGCGGACUGGUUUGCUAGAGCACUGUAGAGGCGAGUGGAAUUCCGGGUGUAGCGGUGGAAUGCGUAGAGAUCCGGAAGAACACCGGUGGCGAAGGCGGCUCGCUGGGCAGUGGCUGACGCUGAGGCGCGACAGCGUGGGGAGCAAACAGG